rnacentral:lncRNA from 1 species
UAUAUAACAUAUCAGGUAGCAGCAAACCUAGAUGAAUAUCACAAAGAAAAUCAUCUAACAUACGACUCCUACUGGUGGGCCGAUAUUAUGGCCGUAGACCCACUGCUACUGGAAGGUAACUCACCUCGAACAAGUAGCUGCUGAUAAUCUGUGUGGGAAGUCUUUGUCUGCUGCUGCUCCAGAAAUCCUCCGGCUACAAUCCCCACAAACACUUAGUCAGAAAUGGACAUCUACUCUUAGGGUCAAAUAACUAUUUUACCCCCAAUCAAGUCCAAGUCAAAGUCAACUUCAAUUUGACCCGACUCGCCGAGUUGGGCCGUCAACUCGCCGAGUCCCUCACCCUUUACUCGUCCUCAUCCAUGACCCCAUUCGUCGAGUUGGGCUGUCAACCCGACGAGUUCUUCUCUCAUAUGAACAUCACAUGAAAACUCAUCCAACUCGCCGAGUUGAUGAACAACUCGUCGAGUUCACCUUCACCUAAUGAACAAGUUAUGUCCUCGCCUCAUCGAGUUGAUGAACAACUCGUCGAGUUCAUCUUCAUCCUUAAGUAGAUUGCCUUAGACUCGCCGAUUCCAAGAAUGGACUCGCCGAGUCCAGUCUUGACCAAUUCCAUACAGUCGAUUUAAAUGAGAUCUAACACACCAAAACCAUAGAUUUGGCCUCCUAAUGUCCACUUUAUACGUAAAGUUCCAAACUUGAUGCAUAUGCCUGGGGUUUUUAGCUCAAAAAUCCACAUAAAGUGUCCUACAAUGUGCAUGGGGCUCUCAUGGCCCUAAAGUUGGCACCUUUAUGCCAUGAGACCCCUCUUAAGGUCCAGAUCUGAAGUCAAAACCCACUCAACACUUCCAAUUCCGAAACAUGACUUAGAAAUCCAAAGAGAUCCCAAGUUAAAGAUGAAUAAACACAUAGAUGAGUCAAGACAGGGGCAUUAUACCUUGAAGCUGCUGAAAAUGGAGUAAAAUCCCUGGAUCUACUGUCCCCAACUCAAGUUCCAAGCUCCUUCCUUCCUUCCAAGCUUUACAACCACACAAAAACACCAAAAAUGGCCUUAACAAAGCACAAACGGCUAGGGUUUCAAUGAGAAGUGUUUUGGGAGCAUAAGGGACAAUAUGGCCAUCAUAUCUUUGCUUAAAUACGGUGCAAACCCUCAGAUUAGGGUUUUUGUCCGAACAGUACCUACUUGCUGAGUCUGGGACCCGACUCGCCGAGUUCAUCACUUAAGUCCCGCAUUCUGUCCCACUUCUACUCGGCGAGUUGGUCCUUCAACUCGCCGAGUCCAAGGCCAAAAUGUGAAAAAAUAUAAAUAUCUAAUGAAGGAAAUACGAACCAAGAACCAGGUGCUACAAAUCUCCCCCACUUAUUUUAGACUUCGUCUUCGAAGCCUGCUGCUCGUUCCUGAAACAACUCGGGGUAAUGCUCCAUCAUCUCGUCCACCGGCUCCUAAGUCCAUUCCGAGCCCUUCCGGUGCUUCCAUUACACCUUCAUGAGCUCCACCCUCUUGUUCCUCAAAUCCUUUGACUUCCGGUCGAGGAUUGCCACAGGCCGCUCGAUGUAAUUCAGGCUGCCAUCAACCUGAAUGUCCUUCAAGGGCACCACUGUCGAGUCGUCCACCAGGCACUUUCGCAACUGAGAAACAUGAAAAGUGUCGUGUAUAUGAUCGAGUUCGGCUGGCAAAUCCAGUCUAUACGCCACCUUGCCCACCCGGGCUAUAACCCUGAACAGUCCAAUGUACUUGGGGCCCAUGGCGACACCUUCAGGAGAACCAUAUCCCCGAUCUGGAACUCCAGGUCUGAUCGGCGCUUAUCGACAUAGCUUUUCUGCCGACUCUAAGCAGUAUGAAGCCUGCUCCAGCCCUUCUUAAUCUUCUCUGUCAUCUUGAGCACUACCUCAGUGCUCCCCAUUACCUUGUGGCCAACCUCACCCCAACAUAUUGGGGUCCUGCACUUCCUCCCAUAUAGCAUCUCGAAGGGAGGACGAUCAAUGCUCGCAUGAUAACUAGACUCUGUCAAUGGAAGGUAGGUAUCCCAACUACCUCCGAAGUCUAAUACGAUUGCUCGCAGCAUAUCCUCCAGGGUCUGGAUGGUCCGCUCGCUUUGACCAUCCGUCUGCGGGUGAAAGGCGAUGCCAAAAUGCAGACAAGUACCCAGCUCGUCAUCAAACUUCUUCCAAAACCUGGAAGUGAACCGCACAUCCCUGUCUUAAAUCACAGAAACUGGCACACCGUGCUGCGCCACCACCUCCCGGAUAUAGAUGUCGGCCAACUUCUCGGCCGAGAUGCUCUCCUGAAUCGGGAUAAAAUGGGCGCUCUUGGUCAAUCGGUCAACGAUGACCUAGAUCGAAUCCACUCCCCACGUGGUCAUGGGAAGCUUUGUGAUAAAAAUCCAUCAUGAUGUCUUCCCAUUUCCAUAGCGGAAUAUCCAAUGGCUACAUCUUGUCGUGAGGUCUCUGAUGCUCGGCCUUGACAUUCCUACAAGUCAAGCACCGCUCCGCGUACCAUGCCACAUCCCGCUUCAUGCAAGGCCACCAAUAGUCCAGACGAAGGUCCCUAUACAUAUUCGUCGCCCCGGGAUGAAUGGAAAAUCGAGAUUUGUGCGCCUCCUCCACCAGAACCUGGCGCACACCCCCGUGGUACGGCACCCACACCCUACAGUGUAGUGUCAGUAAUCCUCGGCUUUCAUAGUCGAAGGAGGAGACAUGCCCCACUAUCCGCUUUCUCUUUUGAUGUUCCUCCUUCAUAGCCUCCUACUAGGCCUCUCGGAUAUUCUCUAGAAGUGGAGUCACUACUGUCAUCCUCAGACAGAUGUCUCUGAUCGGGGCUGCGAANGCGCGUCGGCCACCACAUUGGCCUUCCCCGGAUGGUAAAGGAUCUCGCAAUCGUAAUCCUUUACCAUGUCCAUCCACCGACGCUGCCUCAUGUUUAGAUUUGGCUGAUCCAUGAGGUACCUCAAACUCUUAUGGUCCGUGUAGAUGGUACAGCGAACCCCAUAGAGGUAAUUUUACCAGAUCUUGAGGGAGAAUACAACAGCCCCCAACUCCAAAUCAUGCAUCAGGUAGUUCGCCUCGUGAGGCUUCAGCUGCCUCGACGCGUAGGCGUUGACAUGCCCUCUCUGCAUCAAUAUUGUGCCCAAACCUGAGAUGGACGCAUCGCAGUAUACAACAAAAUCCUCCAUGCCCUCUGGCAGGGCUAAGACUGGCGCCUCGCACAAUCUCUGUCUCAGUGUCUCGAACGCGGCCUGCUGCUUAGGCCCCCAACGAAAGACCACGACCUUCCUUGUUAGCCUGGUCAGGGGUACGCCUAUCUUGGAGAAAUCCUAGAUGAAUCUACGAUAGUAGCCAACCAAUCCUAGGAAACUCCGAAUCUUAUAUGGAGACUUCGGAACCUCCCAUCUCAUCACGACUUCCACUUUAGCCGGGUCCACUGAAAUCCCGUUCUGGUUGACGAGAUGCCCAAGGAACUGCACCUCGCGCAACCAGAACUCACACUUGGAGAACUUAGCAUACAAGUUCUCCCUCCUCAAAGUCUCUAGAACCUCUCGCAGAUGCUCCUCGUGCUCUUCCUGUGUCUUGGAGUAAACCAAGAUAUCAUCAAUAAACACUAUCACAGACCGGUCUAACAUCGGUCUACACACGCGGUUCAUGAGGUCCAUGAACGCGGGAGGAGCAUUGGUGAGCCCGAAGGGCAUCACCACUAACUCGUAGUCGCCAUAGUGCAUCCGAAACACAGUUUUCUGUACAUCCUCCUCUCUGACCCUCAUCUGAUGAUAUCCUGAACGUAGAUCAACCUUGGAGAACCAAGAUGCUCCCUGUAGUUGAUCAAAGAGGUCAUCAAUCCUCGAGAGUGGGUAACGGUUCUUCACCGUUACCUUAUUCAGCUCCCGAUAAUCUAUACACAUCCGAUGCGACCCUUCCUUCUUUUUCACAAACAGAAUCGGGGUUCCCCAGGGUGAACUACUCGGUCUAAUGAAUCCCUUGUCUAACAGCUCCUGCAGCUGUGUAGACAACUCCUGCAUCUCAGGAGGAUCCAAUCGAUACGGUGCCUUGGCUAUCGGAGCCGCACCAGGGACUAGGUCGAUCCUAAACUCCACCUGCCUCUCCAGAGGUAUCCUAGGCAACUCCUCGGGGAAUACAUCCGUAAAUUCUCGUACCAUGGUCACAUCACCCACCUUCACCUUACUCGCCUCCCGGGUGUCCAUGACAUAAGCGACAUAUCCUGCGCAACCCUGCUGAAGGUAACGCCUAGCUCUCGCUGCUGAACAUAAGGUUGGCCCUCGCUGUGGCCUCUCGCCCUGAAUCACUAACUCUCCCCCUCCUAGGGUCCUGACUCGCACCAACUGUUGUGCGCAAUCUAUCACCGCCCCAUGGGGGCUCAGCCAAUCCAUGCCGAUAAUCACCUUGUUCCCUCUCAACGGAAUAGGAACCAGGUCUACCAUGUAACGCUCCUCGAACAAUCUCAAAACACAAUCUCGGAAGACCUUUGAUGCUCACACUGACCAGUCGUCCGCAAUCUCGACCUCUAGAGGGCAAUCCAACAUACCCGAAGACUCAGGGAACUUCUUGCUAAGCGCAAGAGAGACAAAUGAUCAGGUAGCACCCGAAUCAAACAAUACCUGAACUGGAAUGUCGUUCACAUGGAACGAUCCUAAACAGAGCACAUACAUAACAUAUCAAAAUCACAACAGCAUAUCAUAAUAGCAUAAAUAAGAAGUCAUACCCGUCACCACAUCGGGUGCAGCGCGUGCCUCCUCGGUAGUCAACUGGAAGGCCCAGCUCCUCGCCACUGGAGCCUCAGUCUUGGCCUUCCGGCCAUCAGUAAUCCGUAGGGUCGCUGCAGCUGGCGCCUUCACCGGUGUUGCUGCUGUCAACUGGGGGCAGUUGGCCUUCUUGUGGCCCUUCUGGUUGCAGUGGAAACACAACAACUCAGACGUCUGAAUAACCGGUGCAGGGGUGGUACAAUCCCUGCUGAAAUGCCUCGUCUUGCCGCACUUGUAGCAGCCUGACGAUCCCAAUCUACACGCUCCCUCGUGUGGCCUGCCGCAUUUCCUACAGUGGCCUGGUCUUGACUGGCUUUUCGGCCUACCAUCUGAUCCCUUGGGCUUCUUCCCCGAAGCCCCAAUCGUCUGCCCCUCCUCUACCUUCCUCUUCCGGACAUGCUCCAGAUCGAUCUCCUUCUCCCUUGCCCUGACAAUCAUGGAAUCCAGGGUAGGGCAAGCUGAAAAACUAACAUGCUCCCGAAUGUCGGCUCGCAACAUGUCAUGAUAUCGGGUCCUCCUCAUAUCCUCAUCUCCCACAUACUGGGGCACCAGCAAUGCCCUAUCCCGGAACUUGGCAUUGAUCUCUGCCACAGUCUCCGUAGUCUGUCUCAUGUCCAAAAACUCUCUGGCCAGCUGCUGAAGCUCUAUAGCUGGCGCAAACUCCGCCCUGAAUCUGGUCGCAAAGUCUGACCAGGUCAUAGCCUCCACAGCCGAGGCUCCCAAUGAGUCACCAACAGACUCCCACCAGUCUCUAGCUCUGUCUCUCAAACACCCUGCUACAUAUCUCACCUUCCGCCCCUCGGGGAAGAAGCUGGUCAGCUGUGCGGACUUAAUGUCUGCAAUCCAUCGUCUGGCAGAAAUGGGGUCCUUCGCCUCAUGGAAAUCCGGCGCACCACUGCCCCUAAAGUCCUUAAAGGAUAACAUGCGGGAUCCUGAUUGGCCAGAUGCCAUGUCGCUCUGGAACGCCCUAAGGCGAUCCUCCAUCAGCUCAACAAUCCCUUCCUUGAUCGACCCAAAAAUGAUCGGGGUCGCAUCAAGGAUGCCUCUAGUGAUCUCAGACGUGAUGAACUCGCGUAAACUCUCAUCCACUGGUUCAGAGCCUGAACCCGAACCCGAUCCCUCUCCAAAACUGCCAACUGCUGGCCUGGAACGUAGUACCACCAUUCUGCAAUACACCAUGACAACCGUUAGUGAUACUAGUACAUCUAGAGGGAUCACACCCAUCACAAGUUCCUUGGUCUUGCCUCAGACCUCCUUAAUUCGAGUACGGAUCCUCUGCUUUUAGUAGUACGGGCCCAUACUACCUUCCACAUUUAUCCGUACUUUCCUCAAGGACUGCCUUGACUCCACCAAGUCCCCUUUUUCCCGUGCUGAUCUCUUCUACUCUCAUCCUAGGCUUACCCUAGGGAAUUCUCUGACUCCAUCCCAACCGGUCCUUAGCUACUGAAGGCCUCCUAGUAAUGCCAAUUAGCCAUUACCUGAAUACUACACAUGUAAUGAGGCUCGGAUAAUCCUUUGAGUAAAAGACUCAUCCCCACAAUGGUUAGAAUCAAACGAGAGCUGUGCAAUAGGGCCAAAUCCAACACUCUGGGAUUAUUCAAUCCUAAUCACAUGUGAUGCGACGUACUCACCUAAUGGUUAACUCCCAUUACUCAGAGCCCUACAAGCACGAAGCAAGCAGCAUUCGGACACAGGAAACUACUCAAGCAACUCUAUUCUCCUAACGAGAAACUGUACCAGCAUACUGUUGGGUUAUGAGCAUUCUAACACUGCUAAGUGUACAUGCAACCCUAAAUACCUUGGAUCUAUGUUUUCUCUAUUAUACAUGCAAUUAUGAACAUCCAAGGUAUUAUCCUAAUCUAGCAUACAAAAUAAUGAAUAUAACAAGAUAGAAUACAUACCUCUUUGAUGUAGAAUGUCUUCAUGAAGCUUGAGUGCCUAGUGCCUCAAGUGUGACACCUCAAAUGGUUCACACAACACCAAAUAUACUUGGAAUAACUUGAGAGAAACUUAAACACUCCUCAAAUCGGCUAGCCCUUUCUUAUAAUUCAUAGUGGCCGAUUUUUCCCAAAGAAUAUGAUCUUAUAUAGUUGCUACAAUUAGGGUAAACCCUAAUUGUCAUGGCCUUCCAUUUCCUUGGAUCCAUGGGUUCAAAUACACCAUGGAUCAUCCAUGGACCAUCCUAUGGGUUUUAGCCCAACUUGAUUAUCCAUGGAGCAUUAGCCCACUAUACAAGUAUGGAUGAUUUACACAAUCAACCCAUAUAUUUAAUUAGUCUUCUUUUGAUCACUUAAUUAAUUCUAGAUUAAUUCUUGAUCAAUACUAAUUAAAUAAUCCUAUUAAUAUAUUAGAACUUAUAAUAUAUUAAUCAACCUUAAGUGUUAUUUCUCUCAUUAUAGUCUAUCCAAGUGCAUGAUGCCAUGCAACCCAAAUGGACCAUGUCGGGUCGGGUCAAGUCUUACCAAUUAUAGUUAUGGACUUAGACAUUAAUCCAACAGUCUCCCACUUGGAUAAGUCUAAAACUAUUAUUGCGUAUGACUUCAGGAACCAACUGGCAAUCGUAGCUCUCAAAAGCUUCUGUCGAACUCUGACCUUGUAGAUGAACUCUGACCUUUGUCAAUGACUUGUCCAUUAGAUAAGGGAUCAUAUAUUCCUCCAUUCUAGAUAUCAUAUGGACUGAGACAUGGAUUAUAAUCAUUCUCUCUGUCCAUUUGUUGUUUCCCGAUUUCCGAUUUAUGACGACUGACUAAUUGAACAAAUCAAAUCAGUCCUGGCCCGGCCGAGCACUUCCAUUUGUCAUCAUCAAAUCAUCGAGGGGCCCACAGAUAUCGCUUUUAUCCCGAAGGUAAAAGGAAUGGAUAAACUUCGACUCAUAUGGCUUGUUCUACUACUUGUUGAAUCAUACACAAAGGCACGUUUUAUAGCACCGAGUUACCAAAUGCGUUUUCGUGCAAUCAAUGUACUAUCAACUCAUAGUAACAACUCAUAUCUCUAGGUUUGAAGAAUAUAAGAUAUUAUCGUCUCAUGAUCACUCGUGAUAAAAUCCAUGAAGUGAUUCCAAUGAGCGCGGGUUGAAUCCAAUACUCAGAACUUAUGAGCACUCAUGAGUGUUGUAGCCCUUUGUCCAACACCUUAGACCUCUACAAGCCAACCCAUGACAGUCUUAAUUCAUAUCUACUUCCAACAUAUGACCGACUGUGGAUGGUUUGAAUAACUUAGUCAUUCCGGAAGAAUAACCCAGUUUAUUCGGGAAGUCAAAACAUGCAAAAUGAAACACAAUAAUAAUUGAAUCCAAUAUGGUAUCAACCCUUUGAACAUAAAUAAAACACCUUUUAUUUAUCACCAUAUGAUUACACAUUAUUCAUUGUAUACUGUUUCAGCUAUCAACUUUAUUCUUGAAUUUAAAACAAUAGUUGUCCCAUGCUCCAAGCAUGUACACUAUGUUUUCUUAAACACUAGUCAUGCCACACACCAAGUAUGCAUACUAUGUUUGUCUAUGAUCUUUACUUUGUGAACUAGAUCAAUUGAACAUAACUUCAAUGAUUCUCUUUUCACACUCCCAAAUCCUUACUGCAAAUGCAAGAAUUCCAAAUUCAUGCCAUUUACAGAAAUCUGUUAGAUUCUAAACUUAUAUGCAUUGAUCCUCUUGUAAUGAUUAUGCACAAAGUCACAAAGACUUGGCAACAAUCAUUACAGAGUAUUCCAAAGGAGAUCAACUCCUUGGAAAUAUCCUUCUUGCAUUAAGUUUCCUUAAUCUUACACAGAUUGAAAAUUCUAACUUUGAAACAUUUCCAGAUUCCAUUUUGACUAUCACUUCUGAACAAGAGUUGCCUCCUUACAGAUUAUGUCAAUAUGGUCCUUCCAGAAUUAUCACUAUACUUCCAACUGUCCUUGAGCAACCAAUCUUUGGUAAACCUUAGAUUGUCCUCGACAAUUGUUUAAUCCUUUUAGUCAUAUCCAGUUCUAAACCUUUUCCCUUCUUAAUGCCCCAGGCAUUUGGAAAAUUUUAGAACGGAUGAAUAUAGCACAUGUAAUCGAUCCUAUAUCCGAAGCAUAUGGGACAUGAUUCAUGAUGUCUCACAUAAAGACUAAACCAGUCUUUUGCUAUAAUACUUUCAUUUCUAUUUGCCAAGUUCUCAUAAUUCAAAUUAUGAAAAGGGAUGACGUAAUCAUAAUCGAAUUUUAGAAUGCAAAUAAUGAACCCAUAUAUAGAAUUUCCUUAUGUUUAGCCAUUCCAACAUGAAAUUCAUAUAUAUUCUUGACUAAAUUUGAUUAAAAUCUCAAUCUAUGCUUUUAGAAAUGAAAUGAAGUAUAAUUUCCUCUCCCUUAAUUAUAGCAAAACAACUUUUUCAACCACUGCAGCCUCACGAAUUGAAACUUUUGUUUUCUAUAAUUAACAUUGCUAACUUGCAACCUUUAUCAUAAUUAUCAUGCUCCCACUAACAUGAUGAUUAUUAGAAUAACACUUAUAAUCCCACUAGCUUUGACAUGUACUCAGAAAUCAGCUGGACUUCUAGAAAUCAAUAAUUUACUGACUUUCUUACCAAAGUUCAGAUUUCUGAUACUAGAUUGCUUUGAUAAAACUUAUCAAAAUCAUACACCUUGUCUUAGAUAGCUCACAGGUGUGUCUAAACAAUUAUGAAAAGGGAUGCCAUAAUCAUAAUGUUUAGACCUUUUGUCAUUCCCACAAUUGCUAUCUACUCAAAAUCUACUUAGUGAAAGAGUUUCCUUACCAUCAUUUUCAUGAAUCGAAGAUAAACCUUAUGACACUUAGAUUUUAUGGUGUAAGUGUUCCUAUUCAUGUGAAUUUGUCAAAACCAUAAUCACAAGACUAGGUUAGUGACAAAUCCUAACUCAUAUGGAUUGAACUUGUGCAAUCUUUACUUCUUGCCACCUGGCAGCUUAAGGGCCUACCAUUGCUUCCAAGUAGCUAUGCAAACAAUUGAGAACAUGUAGAACUCAAAUGUAUAGCCAACUUAACAAGAAUGGGCACAGAAAUGUCAACACGAUAGGUUAUAAACCUCACGUCGUGUGUUACUGUUAAACUACAAGUUUUUAUUCUUGAUUAUAUCUUGAACUUCUUUUCAGGAUCUUUAAGACUCCCACUGUCCUCUUGACAUAUAAGACUAUCUUGCCAAAUAUUCAAGAGAUAGUGUGGAUUCUAAUCAAGACAGACACUUAACACAAUUAGCCUUAUUUGGUCUUUGUUUUAUCCAAAACAUCACAACUUACCAAUUUCAAAUGUACAAGAGAAGAAAACUUUUACUCUUACAUUUGACAAGUGUUUUUUUAACCUUCUUUAAGACAUGGCACUCAAGUUACAAUCUUGGAGUAUGACUCUAAGAAUUGUUAUGGAAUGAAAUAUGACUCAUCUUCUUGAUUUAACAACUUCAACAAUUCAUAGUUCCUCUUCUUAGCUAUCAAAAUGCACUUAGAGAAUGAAUUGCGAUAAGGUCUCUUAAUCAUUAAGAUGAUCAUAUAUACAUGAUUACUAAAGUACUCUCCCAGCUCCUUCCCCUUCGCUGAAGAGGUACUUGAAACCAAAACUGUAAGCACGAAGCUUAGUGAGUUCCCCCAUCGUACCACAUACCAUACAAUCACAUAGCAUACAUACUGCCAGGAAAUUAUGGGGUGCCCGACCUACCCGGUACAGCAAUUCUGGGGUGCUGACCUACCUGUACGGCCUAUUUGGGGUGCCGACCUACCCAUGCGGCCAUUCUGGAGUGCCGUCCUACCCAUGCGGCCAUGCUGGGGUGCCGUCCUACCCAUCUCAAGCCAUUAUGGGGUGCUGACCUACCCGUCGGUCCUAACAAUCGAACUUCAGGGACUAUUCCACCCCUUACUUCUACUAUCACAUAUAUCAUAACACAAACAUACUACCAGACAUAUCUGGGGUGUCCGAACUACACUUCGGUCCUAACAACCGAACUUGGGGACUAUUCCCCGCCUACUACCACUGUCACAUAUAACAUAUCAUGUCAGCAUAAAACAUAUUAUUCCAGCAUAUAAACAUAUCAUCACGUAAUGUCAGACAUAUCUAGGUUGUAUGACCUACCCUUCGGUCCUAACAACCGAACUCUACUACUAUCACAUAUAACAUAUCAUGCCAGCAUAUAACAUAUUAGGUAGCAGCAAACCUAGAUGAAUAUCACAAAGACAAUCAUCUAACAUAUGACUCCUACUGGUNGUUGUGGCCGUAGCCCCACCGCUACUGGAAGGUAACUCACCUCGAACAAGUAGUUGCUGAUAAUCCGUGUGGGAAGUCUCUACCUACUGCUGCUCCGGAAAUCCUCCGACUACAAUCCCCACCAACACUUAGUCAAAAAUUGACAUCUACUCUUAGGGUAAAAUAACUAUUCUACCCCCAAUCAAGUCCAAGUCAA